GGGAGAGUUGGAAUUUGUUGGCUGUGCUGUGAGGAGCUACCAAUGAGAAAUCACUGAGAAGGGUUCUAUAAAAUCUUCUAUAAUUUUAACUGUUGUGGUUAUGGACUCUGGAUAAGGACUCUCUUGCUGAGUGAAGCAGACCAGAGAUUUGAGUUAGAAUAAAACACUUUAAAAUGUUAAAUAAUAAACCUUAGACCAAGAAACCCCUAUUGGAGCAGGAUAAUGAGGUUUACCAGAUAGAUCUGGCACCAGGAAUAAUAAUCACUGUGAAUGGACCCAGUGAAUAAAAGAAACAAUGAUAGAAGCCCGUUCCUAUCAAAACCAAAGUAUGUCUGGAUAGGAAGGUAUUCCUCUUGCUCUGUAGAGCAGCCUGGCUAGUUGGAACUGGAAAAGAAGGACCAUAAUGGUUUGGGAUGCACAGCUCUUCAAGAUACUGAUGUUGAGUCUGAUUUGGUAGCCUAAUAGUUGGAGCAUUCACUUGGAAGAACAAAAAUGAGUGCCUAAUGUUUGAAAGCUUGGGAUACUGCCUAGUUCAAAGGUCACAGAUCAGAGUCUGUAGUGCUUAUUGCCUCUUCCUUGUCUGAUAAUGAACUGUGCUGACUAUUUCAUGUAUUAAAGGAACGUAGACGUGACUAAUUCUACAGAAUGUGCUGAGGAAAACAGAUUUGCUGUGGUUUAGCUUCAGAUUUGCUGUCAGUGAGUCAUAAAAGUCUAUAAACUAGAUCACAUUUUUGUUAAACUACUACUGAUGAUUUCUGUAUAUUUUCCAAGAAUAGGUCUGUAGCUGUCUCCUCUCAGUCCGUGCUGAAGAUCACUUGCUUUCCUUUGCUCUGAAACAGCAGAGUGCUCAGGCAAGCACAGAGCAAUUCACUCAAUGUGUUGCCAAAGCACCUGUACAGUUUGCAGAUUUUCUGCACAAAGGAAAAAUUCCAUCUUCGAUGCCAACCUGACACAACCUUUGUGUUCUGGUCAAAGGAGGUUUUCAGGUAUCAUAGGGAGAGAAGAGAAACUGUAAAGGCUGGGAGAAAUGGUCGGAAAACUAAGACUCUGAUUCUAACUCGCAUGGUAAUUUGUCUUGCAUAGUGAACUUGCUCAUAUUAGUUAAUUCAGAGUCCUGCUGCAUGUCUGGAAUGUGGAGUUCAGUGUAGAUGAAUAAUAAAUGAAUGUAAGAAUGUUAAAUUCAGAAGUUAAUUUUAACAGCAUCACAUGCAUUAGUGACAGUAUUAAAAAAAUGCAUGUGGGUUUAUA